rnacentral:rRNA from 1 species
UUACCACGGUUGACCUCGGAUCAGGUAGGAGUUACCCGCUGAACUUAAGCAUAUCAAUAAGCGGAGGAAAAGAAACCAACAGGGAUUGCCUCAGUAACGGCGAGUGAAGCGGCAAGAGCUCAAAUUUGAAAUCUGGCCCCUCUGGGGUCCGAGUUGUAAUUUGCAGAGGAUGCUUCGGGUGCGGUCCCCAUCUAAGUGCCCUGGAACGGGCCGUCAUAGAGGGUGAGAAUCCCGUCUGGGAUGGGCGGCCGCGCCCGUGUGAAGCUCCUUCGACGAGUCGAGUUGUUUGGGAAUGCAGCUCUAAGCGGGUGGUAAAUUUCAUCUAAAGCUAAAUAUUGGCCGGAGACCGAUAGCGCACAAGUAGAGUGAUCGAAAGAUGAAAAGCACUUUGAAAAGAGAGUUAAAUAGCACGUGAAAUUGUUGAAAGGGAAGCGUUGUCCACCAGACUCGCCCGGGGGGGCUCAGCCGGCACGUGUGCCGGUGUACUCCUCUCUGGGCGGGCCAGCAUCGGUUUGGGCGGCUGGUGAAAGGCCCCGGGAAUGUACCACCCUCCGGGGUGCCUUAUAGCCCGGGGUGCCAUGCAGCCAGCCUGGACCGAGGCCCGCGCUUCGGC